GCUCCGGUGGCCUAGUGGUUAGAGCGUCCGCCUCGGGAGCGGGAGGUCGUGGGUUCGAUCCCCGGUCGAGUCA